AACGAACGCUGGCGGCAGGCCUAACACAUGCAAGUCGAGCGCGCCUUCGGGUGAGCGGCGGACGGGUGAGUAACGCGUGGGAAUAUGCCCUUCUCUACGGAACAGUCCUGGGAAACUGGGGGUAAUACCGUAUACGCCCUUUGGGGGAAAGAUUUAUCGGGGAAGGAUUAGCCCGCGUUGGAUUAGGUAGUUGGUGGGGUAAUGGCCUACCAAGCCGACGAUCCAUAGCUGGUUUGAGAGGAUGAUCAGCCACACUGGGACUGAGACACGGCCCAGACUCCUACGGGAGGCAGCAGUGGGGAAUCUUAGACAAUGGGGGCAACCCUGAUCUAGCCAUGCCGCGUGAGUGAUGAAGGCCUUAGGGUUGUAAAGCUCUUUCAGCUGGGAAGAUAAUGACGGUACCAGCAGAAGAAGCCCCGGCUAACUCCGUG
rnacentral:rRNA from 1 species